AUGGAAAAGAAAUGCAAAAAAGCAAAAUGGCUGUCUGGGGAGGCCUUACAAAUAGCUGUGAAAAGAAGAGAGGCAAAAAGCAAAGGAGAAAAGGAGAGAUAUAAGCAUCUGAAUGCAGAGUUCCAAAGAAUAGCAAGAAGAGAUAAGAAAGCCUUCUUCAGCAAUCAAUGCAAAGAAAUCGAGGAAAACAACAGAAUGGGAAAGACUAGAGAUCUCUUCAAGAAAAUUAGAGAUACCAAGGGAACAUUUCAUGCAAAGAUAGGCUCAAUAAAGGACAGAAAUGGUAUGGACCUAACAGAAGCAGAAGAUAUUAAGAAGAGGUGGCAAGAAUACAUGGAAGAACUAUACAAAAAAGAUCUUCACGACCCAGAUAAUCAUGAUGAUGUGAUCACUCAUCUAGAGCCAGACAUCCUGGAAUGUGAAGUCAAGUGGGCCUUAGAAAGCAUCACUACGAACAAAGCUAGUGGAGGUGAUGGAAUUCCAGUUGAGCUAUUUCAAAUCCUGAAAGAUGAUGCUGUGAAAGUGCACUCAAUAUGCCAGCAAAUUUGGAAAACUCAGCAGUGGCCACAGGACUGGAAAAGGUCAGUUUUCAUUCCAAUCCCAAAGAAAGGCAAUGCCAAAGAAUGCUCAAACUACCGCACAAUUGCCCUCAACUCACAUGCUAGUAAAGUAAUGCUCAAAAUUCUCCAAGCCAGGCUUCAGCAAUAUGUGAACCGUGAACUUCCAGAUGUUCAAGCUGGUUUCAGAAAAAGCAGAGGAACCAGAGAUCAAAUUGCCAACAUCCGCUGGAUCAUGGAAAAAGCAAGAGACUUCCAGAAAAACAUCUACUUCUGCUUUAUUGACUAUGACAAAGCUUUUGACUGUGUGGAUCACAAUAAACUGUGGAAAAUUCUGAAAGAGAUGGGAAUAUCAGACCACCUGACCUGCCUCUUGAGAAAUCUGUAUGCAGGUCAGGAAGCAACAGUUAGAACUGGACAUGGAACAACAGACUGGUUCCAAAUAGGAAAAGGAGUACGUCAAGGCUAUAUAUUGUCACCCGGCUUAUUUAACUUCUAUGCAGAGUACAUCAUGAGAAACGCUGGACUGGAAGAACCACAAGCUGGAAUCAAGAUUGCUGGGAGAAAUAUCAGUAACCUCAGAUAUGCAGAUGACACCACCCUUAUGGCAGUAAGUGAAGAGGAACUAAAAAGCCUCUUGAUGAAAGUGAAAGAGGAGAGUGAAAAAGUUGGCUUAAAGCUCAACAUUCAGAAAACGAAGAUCAUGGUAUCUGGUCCCAUCACUUCAUGGGAAAUAGAUGGGGAAACAGUGGAAACAGUGUCAGACUUUAGUUUUUUGGGCUCCAAGAUCACCGCGGAUGGUGACUGCAGCCAUGAAAUUAAAAGAUGCUUACUCCUUGGAAGAAAAGUUAUGAUCAACCUAGAUAGCAUAUUCAAAAGCAGGGACGUUACUUUGCCAACUACAGUCCAUCUAGUCAAGGCUAUGGUUUUUCCUGUGGUCAUGUACGGAUGUGAGAGUUGGACUGUGAAGAGGGCUGAGCGCCAAAGAAUUGAUGCUUUUGAACUGUGGUGUUGGAGAAGACUCUUGAGAGUCCCUUGGACUGCAAGGAGAGCCAACCAGUCCAUUCUGAAGGAGAUCAACCCUAGGAUUUCUUUGGAGAGAAUGAUGCUGAAGCUGAAACUCCAAUACUUUGGCCACCUCAUGCGAAGAGUUGACUCAUUGGAAAAGACUCUGAUGCUGGGAGGGAUUGGGGGCAGGAGGAGAAGGGGACGACCGAGGAUGGGAUGGCUGGAUGGCAUCACGGACUCGAUGGACAUCAGUCUGAGUGAACUCCGGGAGUUGGUGAUGGACAGGGAGGCCUGGCGUGCUGCGAUUCAUGGGGUUGCAAAGAGCUGGACACAACUGAGUGACUGA
rnacentral:lncRNA from 1 species